rnacentral:rRNA from 1 species
AGUGAACGCUGGCGGUAGGCCUAACACAUGCCAGUCGAACGGCAGCACAGUAAGAGCUUGCUCUUACGGGUGGCGAGUGGCGGACGGGGGAGGAAUACAUCGGAAUCUACUUUUUCGUGGGGGAUAACGUAGGGAAACUUACGCUAAUACCGCAUACGACCUACGGGUGAAAGCAGGGGAUCUUCGGACCUUGCGCGAUUGAAUGAGCCGAUGUCGGAUUAGCUAGUUGGCGGGGUAAAGGCCCACCAAGGCGACGAUCCGUAGCUGGUCUGAGAGGAUGAUCAGCCACACUGGAACUGAGACACGGUCCAGACUCCUACGGGAGGCAGCAGUGGGGAAUAUUGGACAAUGGGCGCAAGCCUGAUCCAGCCAUACCGCGUGGGUGAAGAAGGCCUUCGGGUUGUAAAGCCCUUUUGUUGGGAAAGAAAAGCAGCAGGUUAAUACCCCGCUGUUCUGACGGUACCCAAAGAAUAAGCACCGGCUAACUUCGUG